rnacentral:tRNA from 1 species
UCCCUGAUGGCUCAGCGGUUAAAGAAUCUGUCUGCAAUGCAGGAGACCCAGGUUCAGAUCCUGGGUGGAGAA